CAAGUCAGUGAGCCAAGGCUGAAGCUGAGGAGUUUUGCAUGGCUUAGAGGAGGAAGAGAGGGAAUUUGGGGCUGGGCUCAGUUGAAGGGAGAUAAGCACAUACCUGAGCCUGCUCCCCAAGAACACACACAACCCAUACUAUGUGUCCAAUACAGCCCACUGGGAGGAGACUCUGAGGUCCAAUUUAUCUUGCCUUCGGACAAAUGACAGCUUCUGAAGUGGUCCCUGAGUAGCAUAUCCUGGAAGCCACCUGAUGCCAUCAAAACUUUCAGGAUGUGAGUUUCCCUCUGAACAAAACCCCAAGCUGGCCACUUCAGGUGUCUUGGAGCCAGAGACAGACUGACGGGGACAACAUCUUUAGGGACUGAUGGGAGGUCACCUUUGGCAUGUGGUAGUAACUGGGCAGAAAGGAAAACUACCUAUUAGUCGAUUUUCAGAG
rnacentral:lncRNA from 1 species